rnacentral:rRNA from 1 species
UGCAGUAGAACGCUGAAGAGAGGAGCUUGCUCUUCUUGGAUGAGUUGCGAACGGGUGAGUAACGCGUAGGUAACCUGCCUUGUAGCGGGGGAUAACUAUUGGAAACGAUAGCUAAUACCGCAUAACAAUGGAUGACACAUGUCAUUUAUUUGAAAGGGGCAAUUGCUCCACUACAAGAUGGACCUGCGUUGUAUUAGCUAGUAGGUGAGGUAACGGCUCACCUAGGCGACGAUACAUAGCCGACCUGAGAGGGUGAUCGGCCACACUGGGACUGAGACACGGCCCAGACUCCUACGGGAGGCAGCAGUAGGGAAUCUUCGGCAAUGGGGGCAACCCUGACCGAGCAACGCCGCGUGAGUGAAGAAGGUUUUCGGAUCGUAAAGCUCUGUUGUAAGUCAAGAACGAGUGUGAGAGUGGAAAGUUCACACUGUGACGGUAGCUUACCAGAAAGGGACGGCUAACUACGUGCCAGCAGCCGCGGUAAUACGUAGGUCCCGAGCGUUGUCCGGAUUUAUUGGGCGUAAAGCGAGCGCAGGCGGUUUGAUAAGUCUGAAGUUAAAGGCUGUGGCUCAACCAUAGUUCGCUUUGGAAACUGUCAAACUUGAGUGCAGAAGGGGAGAGUGGAAUUCCAUGUGUAGCGGUGAAAUGCGUAGAUAUAUGGAGGAACACCGGUGGCGAAAGCGGCUCUCUGGUCUGUAACUGACGCUGAGGCUCGAAAGCGUGGGGAGCGAACAGGAUUAGAUACCCUGGUAGUCCACGCCGUAAACGAUGAGUGCUAGGUGUUGGAUCCUUUCCGGGAUUCAGUGCCGCAGCUAACGCAUUAAGCACUCCGCCUGGGGAGUACGACCGCAAGGUUGAAACUCAAAGGAAUUGACGGGGGCCCGCACAAGCGGUGGAGCAUGUGGUUUAAUUCGAAGCAACGCGAAGAACCUUACCAGGUCUUGACAUCCCGAUGCUAUUUCUAGAGAUAGAAAGUUACUUCGGUACAUCGGUGACAGGUGGUGCAUGGUUGUCGUCAGCUCGUGUCGUGAGAUGUUGGGUUAAGUCCCGCAACGAGCGCAACCCCUAUUGUUAGUUGCCAUCAUUCAGUUGGGCACUCUAGCGAGACUGCCGGUAAUAAACCGGAGGAAGGUGGGGAUGACGUCAAAUCAUCAUGCCCCUUAUGACCUGGGCUACACACGUGCUACAAUGGUUGGUACAACGAGUUGCGAGUCGGUGACGGCAAGCUAAUCUCUUAAAGCCAAUCUCAGUUCGGAUUGUAGGCUGCAACUCGCCUACAUGAAGUCGGAAUCGCUAGUAAUCGCGGAUCAGCACGCCGCGGUGAAUACGUUCCCGGGCCUUGUACACACCGCCCGUCACACCACGAGAGUUUGUAACACCCGAAGUCGGUGAGGUAACCUUUGGAGCCAGCCGCCUAAG